UACAAGUAAGAUAAAUUAUAUGAGAUCUUUAAUUUAUAUAUAAGAUAAUUUUAUUCUGUUCUAAUAUCUGUGUAAUGUUAGUUUAAAAUAUUAUUUUUUAUUAUAUUGAUUUUAUAUAUUAGGUAGGUGCCCAUUCUGUUCCUAUCUUCAGAAGUUAUUUAUACCUAUGCAAUACCUUUGCUCAGGUUAAAGAAUGGAAUACUAGUCUUGCAUCAAAUAUAUUUUACAUAUUCAUUCGAUGUUUAUCACCAGAAGUUAGUUCUACCUUUGCAGUACCUCUGCUCUACAUACCUCCUCGCUGGUUAAAGAAUGGAAUAUAAAUCUCAUAUCAAGUUGGUGUAAAAAUUUAGUUCAAUAAAUUAAGAAUUUGUAAACGUUAUCAAAAUUUUGAGUGGAGCAAUUGUUUUUCUGGUUUAGCAUGAAUAUGAAUCUGAUAUCAAUUGGAUGUACAAAGAUAGUUUACAACUUAAAGAACCUAUCAGUAAACCAACUGAUUAUUAAACAGUUUUUAAUGGGAAUAAAAACAAAUUUUUAAAAGAUUUCAAUUAGCUAUUUGUAUAUUCAAACACUUUAUUUACUGAGAGAAGAGGCUAUAGAUUCAAGUGCUAUAAAAUAAUUCUACUACCAAAAGCGAGGUUAAUUCAAAAACUCAAACUCAAAUUUGGUCAUGAAUUAUUAUAUUAGACUUGGUCUAAGAAGCAGAUGACAUUUGGAGCAAAUCUAAAAUUGAAGUUUCAAGUUUUUCACUCGGAAGUAACAAAAUGUUUCGUGUUUUUUUAAUCUUGUCAAUUUUUUAAAAUAUAUUAACACAACUGCAAAAAAUCCGAACAAACAGCUUGAGCAAAAAAGACUUGUAAUUAUUAUAAAAGUUUACUUAUAUUACAUACGAUCCUGA
rnacentral:lncRNA from 1 species